AAAGCCUUUGAAAAAAAAAAAUCUUGCGUCUACAAAUUUGCCUGAAUGGUGUAAAACAAACCCACAUACCUGUGUCAGAAAAAUGUAACGUGAAUAUUUGUUUUAAUCACUCAGACACAAAACUACUGCUACACUGAACCUCGAUACAAGUCACAGAGUCAGUUCUACAAGUCACAAAAACAAAAGUCCUGCUGGGAUGUUUUUUGCUGUGCAGUAAAUUAUAAAACUCCUUCAUUGAGCCUGUAAAACAGCGCAGAACCAUUAAGAGUUUUGCAUUCCACAGAAUCGGUAUGAAUUUUUAAAAAUAUGGCAAAUCCAUCCAUAGACCUAAUUAAUAAGGAUAUAAUUUUUAAUACAUUUAAGAAGAUGGAAUGGUAUUAUGUAGCCUAUUGAAUUGUCCACUUAGCAAAAAACAUUUAGUGAGCAGCUUCCAAAGUAUAAGAAAGUAAGAUUCAAAAGACACAAACUGGGUUAGAGAAGAGAGGAAGAAGAGAUGGUCGGGAUUCGAACCUGCAUUGGCCGUGUCGAGGACUUAGGCCUCCUUAUGUAGUACAGGACCCGUCUCUGGUGAAGCUGGCGCCAUGACGUCGGACGUAGGAUGCUAAUGUGACAUCGAACUUAAUUGUUUCAAGUAAAGUCAAAGUAAAACGUUCGAUAAGUUAAAAAAAAAAUUAACUUUUAAGUUAAUUCAACACAAAAAAGUAAAUUGUCAUCAUCACUAAAAAACCAAAAGAAUUAAGUGAAAUUACUGUAAAUAUUCCAUAACAUGAACACUUUUAAGUUCUUUGAGUUACCUUAGUGUGACUCAAAGAAUACAAUUUGUGUCUUGCGCUUAAGAAUCCAAAGAGGCGUAAAACAUUUACGGCUACAGGAGUCCGUUACAGUUUUUUUUCCCUUCAACUUUUCAGUUUCGAGUCACAAACACUUUUGUAUCAAAAAAUGCCUUCAUAAACGAAGCCUUGUAUUAAAUCAGUCCGAACUGUGUACACUGACUCCGGAUCCUCGGAGCUCUGGGUGUGUUUCUGGAAGGUGUGUGAGCCCCACCACCGAAGUGCCUUGAAGCGACGGGUGGCCUGAACACAUUUAUUAAUAUUUUUCUUCGAAACUCCAGGGGGCCAGAGGGGUCGUAACAUUCUAAAACAAACCAGAUCUCUUUUAUUUCAAGUGUCGUUCAUUGGUCAGCCUACUAUUAAUUGAUUCAUGAAUAUGCACAAUCCGCAGCUAUGUAACGCGUGUCUCGGUAAGAUGACGCACACGUGGCCCCCGCCAGCUCCAGGCGAACACAGUCGGCCUGCGGUGAUUUGGACUGGAGUCCAUAUGGUUCCAGUGUUGUCGUCUUCAGCUGUGAGCCACUUUCAUGGAUUAACUAAAUCCGUCUAUUGAACAAUUACACCCUGUUUGUGGACACGCUCCCUGGGGCCAUGAAUAUGAAUGUGCCUCAGCGGGUCGCCGCUUUUUGUCUGGGUUAAAGCUUCCCACCGUCAGCUAGUGCAAGACUUUCAACCAUUUGCCUCAUUUUCCAAGGAGCGGGCCGGUAGGCUGCAGCCAUGGGAACAAUAAACUGGUGAAUGUGGUGUGCCAAAAGUCCCAGUGUUGUGAGCUUAAAAAAUAAAUAAAUAAAAUAUUUUUAAAAAGCAAUUAAUAUUUCAUGCAUUGUGUACAAUAACUGGUCAAAUCCAUCCUUCCAUCCAUUUUCUAACACCCUUGUCCCUAGUGGGGCCAGGGAGAGGUGCUGGUUCCGGGCGAUCGACGGGGUCACCCUGGACAGGUCACCAGUCUGUCGCAGCUGGUAAAAUCCGCUGAUUCAAAUUUAAAACUGUUGUAGUUUGGUGUUUAUUGAGCUGUUUUGUGGUUGCUGUGCCACAGUGCACCAUAAAAUAACCUUAACUUAAAAUGAAAUCUAUCAACUAGAUCUUAGCAUCUAAUUAGUUACAACCACAGCAAGUCAACAUUACACCACUUAAUGUAGCAAUUGGUUGCCCUGAUUUCUAACUUUGAGUAAUAAAGGCCGAAAGAAUAGAUUCGUGAAUCGAUUAUUGCAUCACACAAAUAUUUUUUUUUUCUACUAAACAUAUUUUUUUCUUGUAAAUGUAUUCUUUUAUUUCUUUGCAUCCAUGCAGAACCCUGCAGGCAGACAGAAACUGGUGUGUGAACUCUUGACAAAAUUUCUCAUUUACAGUCUUAGGUGUGGCUGUGCAAAAUUGAAUUCUUGUCAUAAAGUAGUAUUAAAA